GGCGCAUGCGUCACAGGAAGUGACAUAUCGGAAUAAUACGACCGGACGGAAGAAAUACUUAAGCUGCGUCUGACAGCUGAAGAUAGAAUCUAGCGGUGACUACGAUUGGAUACAAGGAGCAGACUGUUUGGGGAAGGCAAGAAGGGUAUGUGCAAAACCGGAGGUAUAGCCACAUUGAGGAUGGGCAGUACUUCCAGUUGUGACCAUAUAUGGACGUGGGUGGUAUUUUUAUACAUAUGUUUCUAAUUGCACACUUAUGUUGAUGUUUC